rnacentral:rRNA from 2 species
CCAAGUUUUUAAGGGCGCACGGUGGAUGCCUUGGCACCAGGAACCGAUGAAGGACGUGGGAGGCCACGAUAGGCCCCGGGGAGCUGUCAACCGAGCUUUGAUCCGGGGGUGUCCGAAUGGGGAAACCCGGCAGUCGUCAUGGGCUGUCACCCGCUGCUGAACACAUAGGCAGUGUGGAGGGAACGCGGGGAAGUGAAACAUCUCAGUACCCGCAGGAAGAGAAAACAACCGUGAUUCCGGGAGUAGUGGCGAGCGAAACUGGAUGAGGCCAAACCAGUCACGUGUGAUACCCGGCAGGGGUUGCGUGGUUGGGGUUGUGGGAUCUCUCUUUUGCAGUCUGCCGGCUGUGAGGCGAGUCAGAAACCGUUGAUGUAGGCGAAGGACAUGCGAAAGGUCCGGCGUAGAGGGUAAGACCCCCGUAGCUGAAACAUUAGCGGCUCGUUUGAGAGACACCCAAGUAGCACGGGGCCCGAGAAAUCCCGUGUGAAUCUGGCGGGACCACCCGUUAAGCCUAAAUAUUCCCUGGUGACCGAUAGCGGAUAGUACCGUGAGGGAAUGGUGAAAAGUACCGCGGGAGCGGAGUGAAAUAGUACCUGAAACCGUGUGCCUACAAGCCGUGGGAGCGUCGCGCAGAGAACUUGUUCUUUGCGUCGUGACUGCGUGCCUUUUGAAGAAUGAGCCUGCGAGUUUGCGGUAUGUUGCGAGGUUAACCCGUGUGGGGAAGCCGUAGCGAAAGCGAGUCCGAAUAGGGCGUGGAGUAGCAUGCUCAAGACCCGAAGCGGAGUGAUCUAGCCAUGGGCAGGUUGAAGCGGAGGUAAGACUUCGUGGAGGACCGAACCCACCAGGGUUGAAAACCUGGGGGAUGACCUGUGGUUAGGGGUGAAAGGCCAAUCAAACUCCGUGAUAGCUGGUUCUCCCCGAAAUGCAUUUAGGUGCAGCGUCGUGUGUUUCUUGCCGGAGGUAGAGCACUGGAUAGGCGAUGGGCCCUACCGGGUUACUGACCUUAGCCAAACUCCGAAUGCCGGUAAGUGAGAGCGCGGCAGUGAGACUGUGGGGGAUAAGCUCCAUGGUCGAGAGGGAAACAGCCCAGAGCAUCGACUAAGGCCCCUAAGCGUGUGCUAAGUGGGAAAGGAUGUGGAGUCGCAGAGACAACCAGGAGGUUGGCUUAGAAGCAGCCACCCUUGAAAGAGUGCGUAAUAGCUCACUGGUCAAGUGAUUCCGCGCCGACAAUGUAGCGGGGCUCAAGUACACCGCCGAAGUCGUGUCAUUGCAGCAUGAGGGCUAACGCCUGUUGUGAUGGGUAGGGGAGCGUCGUGUGCCGGGUGAAGCAGCCGUGGAAACGAGUUGUGGACGGUUCACGAGUGAGAAUGCAGGCAUGAGUAGCGAUACAAGAGUGGGAAACUCUUGCGCCGAUUGACUAAGGGUUCCUGGGUCAAGCUGAUCUGCCCAGGGUAAGUCGGGACCUAAGGCGAGGCCGACAGGCGUAGUCGAUGGACAACCGGUUGAUAUUCCGGUACCCGCUUUGAAGCGCCCAAUACUGAAUCAGGCGAUGCUAAGUCCGUGAAGCCGCCCUGAUCUCUUCGGAGUUGAGGGGAGUGGUGGAGCCGACGGACCAGACUUGUAGUAGGUAAGCGAUGGGGUGACGCAGGAAGGUAGUCCAGCCCGGGCGGUGGUUGUCCCGGGGUAAGGGUGUAGGCCGUGUGGUAGGUAAAUCCGUCGCACGUUAAGGCUGAGACCUGAUGCCGAGCCGAUUGUGGUGAAGUGGAUGAUCCUAUGCUGUCGAGAAAAGCCUCUAGUGAGUUUCAAGGCGGCCCGUACCCUAAACCGACUCAGGUGGUCAGGUAGAGAAUACCGAGGCGUUCGGGUGAACUAUGGUUAAGGAACUCGGCAAAAUGCCCCCGUAACUUCGGGAGAAGGGGGGCCAUUUCUGGUGAGGGAACUUGCUUCCUGAGCUGGGGGUGGCCGCAGAGACCAGCGAGAAGCGACUGUUUACUAAAAACACAGGUCCGUGCGAAGCCGUAAGGCGAUGUAUACGGACUGACGCCUGCCCGGUGCUGGAACGUUAAGGGGACCGGUUAGCUUGGAUUCGUCCAGGCGAAGCUGAGAACUUAAGCGCCAGUAAACGGCGGUGGUAACUAUAACCAUCCUAAGGUAGCGAAAUUCCUUGUCGGGUAAGUUCCGACCUGCACGAAUGGCGUAACGACUUCUCGACUGUCUCAACCAUAGGCCCGGUGAAAUUGCAUUACGAGUAAAGAUGCUCGUUUCGCGCAGCAGGACGGAAAGACCCCGGGACCUUUACUAUAGCUUGAUAUUGGUGUUCGGUUCGGCUUGUGUAGGAUAGGUGGGAGACUGUGAAGCGCCAACGCCAGUUGGUGUGGAGUCGUUGUUGAAAUACCACUCUGGUCGUGCUGGAUGUCUAACCUGGGUCCGUGAUCCGGAUCAGGGACAGUGUCUGGUGGGUAGUUUAACUGGGGCGGUUGCCUCCUAAAGAGUAACGGAGGCGCCCAAAGGUUCCCUCAGCCUGGUUGGUAAUCAGGUGUUGAGUGUAAGUGCACAAGGGAGCUUGACUGUGAGACUGACGGGUCGAGCAGGUACGAAAGUAGGGACUAGUGAUCCGGCGGUGGCUUGUGGAAGCGCCGUCGCUCAACGGAUAAAAGGUACCCCGGGGAUAACAGGCUGAUCUUCCCCAAGAGUCCAUAUCGACGGGAUGGUUUGGCACCUCGAUGUCGGCUCGUCGCAUCCUGGGGCUGGAGUCGGUCCCAAGGGUUGGGCUGUUCGCCCAUUAAAGCGGUACGCGAGCUGGGUUUAGAACGUCGUGAGACAGUUCGGUCCCUAUCCGCUGUGCGCGUAGGAGUCUUGAGAAGGGCUGUCCCUAGUACGAGAGGACCGGGACGGACGAACCUCUGGUGUGCCAGUUGUUCUGCCAAGGGCAUGGCUGGUUGGCUACGUUCGGAAAGGAUAACCGCUGAAAGCAUCUAAGCGGGAAGCCUGCUUCGAGAUGAGGGCUCCCUCCUCCUUGAGAGGGUAAGGCUCCCAGUAGACGACUGGGUUGAUAGGCCAGAUAUGGAAGCACUGUAAGGUGUGGAGUUGACUGGUACUAAUAGGCCGAGGGCUUGUCCUC